rnacentral:rRNA from 1 species
UACGUAGGGGGCAAGCGUUGUCCGGAUUUAUUGGGCGUAAAGAGCGUGUAGGCGGUUUGGUAGGUCCGCUGUGAAAACUCGAGGCUCAACCUCGAGACGCCGGUGGAAACCAUCAGACUAGAGUCCGGAAGAGGAGAGCGGAAUUCCUGGUGUAGCGGUGAAAUGCGCAGAUAUCAGGAAGAACACCCGUGGCUAAGGCGGCUCUCUAGUACGGUACUGACGCUGAGGAGCGAAAGCGUGGGUAGCAAACAGG